UGAGCAGGUUGUUCUAUCGCUGUCUGCCUUUGGGCAGAGAGAGGAAAGUCCGGGCAACAAAGAGCACCAUACUUCCUAACGGGAAGAUACCCGUGAGGGUAUUGUCAAUGAAACAGAAAAUAACCGUCAGCUUUUGCUGAUAAGGGUGAAAAGGCGAGGUAAGAGCUCACCGGUUCCGGUGGCGACAUUGGAAGCCGUUCAACGUAUGGGUUGUAAGACCAUGUAUACCGGCAAUUAAGGGCUGCUCGUCCAAUGCCGGGGGGUAGGUCGCUUGAGCCUGGCAGUGAUGCCAGGACUAGAUAAAUGAUAGAAAUCCAAUUUUGGACACAGAACCCGGCUUAUAAACCUGCUCUUUAA
rnacentral:RNase_P_RNA from 1 species